rnacentral:tRNA from 1 species
GGGGAUAUAGCUCAGUGGUAGGGUGCAUGCUUAGCAUGCACGAGGUCUAGGGUUCAAUCCCCAGUCCCUCCA